GAAGAUUGAGACAAGUAUUUGAAAAACAAUGAUCCUCUAAUUCAGGGGUGAGGUUGCAGCUAUGCAGUGGAGUUGAUGAAAAUGCAAUUGGGGCAUGUGCUCAGCUGGUGUUUGCACCAAUUGAUGAAUCAUUUGCUGAUGAUGCUCUCUUACUGCCUUCAGGCUUUCGUGUCAUCCCAUUGGAUCCUAAAACAGAUGGAUCAGCUGCGUCUAGGACAUUGGAUUUGGCAUCGACACUUGAAGUAGGUUCUGGUAAUACUCGUCCAGCUGGUGAAGCUGAUGGUUACAACCUUAGGUCGGUCCUCACAAUUGCAUUUCAAUUUACCUUCGAGAACCAUUUAAGGGACAAUGUUGCUGCUAAGGCCCGUCAGUAUGUGCGUAGUGUUGUGGGAUCAGUUCAGAGGGUUGCCAUGGCAAUUGCUCCCUCUCGAGUCAGCACCCAGAUGGGCCCGAAACCACUUCCUGGUUCACCAGAGGCUGUUACCUUGGUUCGUUGGAUCUGUAGAAGUUACAGGUUCUGGUUCCAUCAACACCUAAAUCUUUCAAAAGUCCCUAAAGUUUUGUCACUCCAUGAUAUCGAUUGAGGGUGCAAGCUGUCGUUUCAUGUUGUUAACACAGAUAAGUGUUUAUUGACAUGAUAUCUGCUACUUUUUUCUGGUAUGCACAAUUGCACAUGUUUAAUGAUUACUAAUAUUGGGUCAAAUAGGUGAUGUAUAAGGAUAGAUGCUAGCAUUGUUGAUAGGGAAAAGUGUGAUGAUAGUGUUGUUUUUUCAGCAGGCUUGAGGACCAUGGUGCAGCCAACAGCCAAGGGAGGGCUGACCUUAGAAAAGAACAUGAUGGUUGGGAAAUUCCAAGGGAUAAUUUGCCCAACUACAUUAAUUAGUUCCUUCAGCUGCUAAUUCUUCGAUGUUUACUGUUCAGAUAGCUCUUUCCACUUUUAUAAUAAAGCUACUAACUCCAUUCUUCUCUUCCUCUAAUUUAAAAAUUAGAUACCUAAUACCUCACCAACUCUAAUACAGUAUAGUGAUCAUAUCUAUUAGUGUACAUAUGAAACCUUUCAACUAAAAAAGAUUCUACAACCCAUUUAUUCUCAAAAAAAUGUGCAUAAAUUAUCACUUUACAGUUCACUGGAGAGAUUCAGACCAAUUGGACAUGUUGCCGUGUCCAUUAACCAAAGUGAAUAAUUUGUUGUUCUACCUAUUAGUGAUUUAGUUGUAGCUUCAUUAAUUGUACUCACCUAAUGCUUGAUAUGGAGAUUUUCUCAUAUAAUGUUAGGACUUAGGACUUGAUAUCGUAUUUGGGCUGUGAUUCUUCAAUAUUUCCCACUUGAUCUAUUUGAGUUUUGAAAUUGGAUUUAUCUCUUAUGUUAUAGUUAAUAUUUGACCCUUAUUCCAUUUUUCUAUCUUACAUUUAGAGGUUGUCAUCGGUUUUUUUGUGUAGUUACUAUGCAUCAGUACACCUUAAGAAGUUCUAAGUCUAAGCAACAGAUUUUUGCCAGAGUAUUUCAUCCGGAUGAGGUGUAUAUUGUUGUACCAAGACAAUUCUUGAAUGAUUUUGAAGAAAGUCUCUCUAAAUAUGUUGAAUUAGUGGAUCCUGUAGGGAAUAAAUUCUGUUUUAGCUUUUAUUUUGAUCGUGAUGAACCAAGAUUUGGUGCUAAUAUUUCAGAGUUACGAACUGUGCACCAAAUACAGGGAAGUGUGAUAAUUUGUUUUAUUUAUCUGGGUGAUAGUAGAUUUGACAUCCAAAUUAGUGAUCUGAACUUGUUUGAGAUUGAGUAUAGGAAAAGAACUGCUCAUGUUGCAGCUAAUGUUGCCAGUUCAAGUCAUAUGAAUUUUCAUGAAGUAGAUGGUUCGGUUAUAAAUUUAAUUAGUGAUGAUGAUUCUGAGAAUGAAGUUGAAGAUAUUGUGAAUUAGGAGAUGUUAAUUUGGUCAGUUGAUCUCACUGCUGAUCUCAUUAUUCCCCGUCAUCAUCUGAUUAUUCCUGAUUAUAUUCAGGAAAAGGUUUUCAACGACAUGAGUCCAGAAAUCAAUGUACUUCUUCCAGAUGGUUCUUGGACUAGAUGAGAAAUCGUCUGGUACUCACUUAGUGAGGGGAUAAGUGAAUCUGGGAGUAUGGGUGCCAUUUUUGGGCGGUGGUAUGAGUUCUAUAAGGAAACAUUUUUCAGACUUGGAAAUUCCGUUGCAAGACACAAGAUGCAGCUAUGGAAAAUGGUUCUUCUCAAUUUUUACAGAGUUGCUGUUUUGACGGAGUAAUUUAACAUCAAAAGUUACAUCUUUUUGUUCUUUUUUUGUACUACAUAAUAUAACAUGAUGUGGUUGUAAACAUCACUUGAACGGUGCUACUUUAUUUGUUCACUGUGAAUGGUUGUUUAUUUUGUCUAUAACUAUAUCAUUUUUUUUUACCUUA